rnacentral:rRNA from 1 species
CUGUGAGCUCGAUGAGUAGGGCGGGACACGUGGUAUCCUGUCUGAAUAUGGGGGGACCAUCCUCCAAGGCUAAAUACUCCUGACUGACCGAUAGUGAACCAGUACCGUGAGGGAAAGGCGAAAAGAACCCCGGCGAGGGGAGUGAAAAAGAACCUGAAACCGUGUACGUACAAGCAGUGGGAGCCUCUUAAUGGGGUGACUGCGUACCUUUUGUAUAAUGGGUCAGCGACUUAUAUUCUGUAGCAAGGUUAACCGAAUAGGGGAGCCGAAGGGAAACCGAGUCUUAACUGGGCGUUAAGUUGCAGGGUAUAGACCCGAAACCCGGUGAUCUAGCCAUGGGCAGGUUGAAGGUUGGGUAACACUAACUGGAGGACCGAACCGACUAAUGUUGAAAAAUUAGCGGAUGACUUGUGGCUGGGGGUGAAAGGCCAAUCAAACCGGGAGAUAGCUGGUUCUCCCCGAAAGCUAUUUAGGUAGCGCCUCGUGAAUUCAUCUCCGGGGGUAGAGCACUGUUUCGGCAAGGGGGUCAUCCCGACUUACCAACCCGAUGCAAACUGCGAAUACCGGAGAAUGUUAUCACGGGAGACACACGGCGGGUGCUAACGUCCGUCGUGAAGAGGGAAACAACCCAGACCGCCAGCUAAGGUCCCAAAGUCAUGGUUAAGUGGGAAACGAUGUGGGAAGGCCCAGACAGCCAGGAUGUUGGCUUAGAAGCAGCCAUCAUUUAAAGAAAGCGUAAUAGCUCACUGGUCGAGUCGGCCUGCGCGGAAGAUGUAACGGGGCUAAACCAUGCACCGAAGCUGCGGCAGCGACACUAUGUGUUGUUGGGUAGGGGAGCGUUCUGUAAGCCUGUGAAGGUGUACUGUGAGGUAUGCUGGAGGUAUCAGAAGUGCGAAUGCUGACAUAAGUAACGAUAAAGCGGGUGAAAAGCCCGCUCGCCGGAAGACCAAGGGUUCCUGUCCAACGUUAAUCGGGGCAGGGUGAGUCGACCCCUAAGGCGAGGCCGAAAGGCGUAGUCGAUGGGAAACAGGUUAAUAUUCCUGUACUUGGUGUUACUGCGAAGGGGGGACGGAGAAGGCUAUGUUGGCCGGGCGACGGUUGUCCCGGUUUAAGCGUGUAGGCUGGUUUUCCAGGCAAAUCCGGAAAAUCAAGGCUGAGGCGUGAUGACGAGGCACUACGGUGCUGAAGCAACAAAUGCCCUGCUUCCAGGAAAAGCCUCUAAGCAUCAGGUAACAUCAAAUCGUACCCCAAACCGACACAGGUGGUCAGGUAGAGAAUACCAAGGCGCUUGAGAGAACUCGGGUGAAGGAACUAGGCAAAAUGGUGCCGUAACUUCGGGAGAAGGCACGCUGAUAUGUAGGUGAAGUCCCUUGCGGAUGGAGCUGAAAUCAGUCGAAGAUACCAGCUGGCUGCAACUGUUUAUUAAAAACACAGCACUGUGCAAACACGAAAGUGGACGUAUACGGUGUGACGCCUGCCCGGUGCCGGAAGGUUAAUUGAUGGGGUUAGCGGUAACGCGAAGCUCUUGAUCGAAGCCCCGGUAAACGGCGGCCGUAACUAUAACGGUCCUAAGGUAGCGAAAUUCCUUGUCGGGUAAGUUCCGACCUGCACGAAUGGCGUAAUGAUGGCCAGGCUGUCUCCACCCGAGACUCAGUGAAAUUGAACUCGCUGUGAAGAUGCAGUGUACCCGCGGCAAGACGGAAAGACCCCGUGAACCUUUACUAUAGCUUGACACUGAACAUUGAGCCUUGAUGUGUAGGAUAGGUGGGAGGCUUUGAAGUGUGGACGCCAGUCUGCAUGGAGCCGGCCUUGAAAUACCACCCUUUAAUGUUUGAUGUUCUAACGUUGGCCCCUUACCGGGGUUGCGGACAGUGUCUGGUGGGUAGUUUGACUGGGGCGGUCUCCUCCUAAAGAGUAACGGAGGAGCACGAAGGUUGGCUAAUCCUGGUCGGACAUCAGGAGGUUAGUGCAAUGGCAUAAGCCAGCUUGACUGCGAGCGUGACGGCGCGAGCAGGUGCGAAAGCAGGUCAUAGUGAUCCGGUGGUUCUGAAUGGAAGGGCCAUCGCUCAACGGAUAAAAGGUACUCCGGGGAUAACAGGCUGAUACCGCCCAAGAGUUCAUAUCGACGGCGGUGUUUGGCACCUCGAUGUCGGCUCAUCACAUCCUGGGGCUGAAGUAGGUCCCAAGGGUAUGGCUGUUCGCCAUUUAAAGUGGUACGCGAGCUGGGUUUAGAACGUCGUGAGACAGUUCGGUCCCUAUCUGCCGUGGGCGCUGGAGAACUGAGGGGGGCUGCUCCUAGUACGAGAGGACCGGAGUGGACGCAUCACUGGUGUUCGGGUUGUCAUGCCAAUGGCACUGCCCGGUAGCUAAAUGCGGAAGAGAUAAGUGCUGAAAGCAUCUAAGCACGAAACUUGCCCCGAGAUGAGUUCUCCCUGACUCCUUGAGAGUCCUGAAGGAACGUUGAAGACGACGACGUUGAUAGGCCGGGUGUGUAAGCGCAGCGAUGCGUUGAGCUAACCGGUACUAAUGAACCGUGAGGCUUAACCUU